rnacentral:rRNA from 1 species
UAUGCCCAACCGUAAAACAUUAACUUACACCCACCCCCGCCAGAGAACUACGAGCCCAAUCUUAAAACUCAAAGGACUUGACGGUGCCCCACCCACCUAGAGGAGCCUGUUCUAUAAUCGAUACCCCCCGCUAUACCUCACCACUUCUAGUACAUCAGUCUGUAUACCUCCGUCAUAAGUCCACCCUGUAAACGCUUAUAGUGGACUAAAAGACCCACCCUCGUCAAUACGUCAGGUCAAGGUGCAGCUUAAGAAAUGGAAAGUAAUGGGCUACAAUUUCUACGAUAGAACAUACAAAAAACUGCAUGCAACACAGUUAUUAAGGCGGAUUUAAUAGUAAAAAGAAAACAGAGAGUUCUUUUAAACCAGGCGCUGGGGCGCGCACACACCGCCCGUCACCCUCUUCAAAUGCCCAUCAACAUUAGAAGAGGCAAGUCGUAACAUGGUAAGUGUACUGGAAAGUGCACUUGGACAACAAAAUGUAGCUUACCUAAAGCACCUCGCUUACACCGAGACGACGUCUCUAAACAGACCAUUUUGAGCCUACCCUCAGCCCACACUACAUCAUUCACCUAACCUACUACAAAACAAAACAUUCUCCUCAUUAAGUAAAGGCGAUUGAAAAAUGACUAGGAGCCAUAACGGCAGUACCGCA